rnacentral:rRNA from 1 species
UGAGGAAUUUUCCGCAAUGGAGGAAACUCUGACGGAGCAACGCCGCGUGCAGGAGGACGGCCUUCGGGUUGUAAACUGCUUUUCUGUGGGACGAGGUUUGGACGGUACCACAGGAAGAAGCCCCGGCUAACUACGUGCCAGCAGCCGCGGUAAUACGUAGGGGGCGAGCGUUGUCCGGAGUUACUGGGCGUAAAGCGUCCGCAGGCGGUGCGGCAAGUUCGAGGUGACAGUGCGCGGCUUAACUGCGCAAGGUCCUUGAAAACUGCCGCACUUGAGGGCUUCAGAGGGAUCCGGAAUUCCGGGUGGAGUGGUGAAAUGCGUAGAGAUCCGGAGGAACACCAAAGGCGCAGGCAGGGUCCUGGGAAGCCACUGACGCUCAGGGACGAAAGCUAGGGGAGCCAACGG